GAUUCUCUGUGGAGUUUCUGAUGCUCAUUGCUCGUCAACAGGAAUUGGUUGGCAAUGGGUAGAAAUCUUAGUCCAGUAUUACGGCGGGAGUUGGCAAUUCUUGAUAAAGAUGCUGAUAGCCGUAAAUCAGCAAUGAAGGCACUGAAGUCAUAUGUGAAAGAUUUGGAUUCAAAGGCAAUCCCUGUCUUUCUUGCACAAGUUUCUGAAACCAAAAAAACUGGAUUCUUGUCUGGGGAAUUCACAAUAUCCCGGUAUGAAGUUCUUGCUCGUGUCCACGGAGUCAACCUAGUUCCUCAGAUUGACAGCAUUAUGACUACUAUUAUAAAGAAACUGGCCUCAAGUGCAGGGCCUUUCCCUCUUAAGCAGACAUUUCUGAUUCACCUUUGGUGGACCAUGUAUAUACUGAUAACGGUGCAGAUUACUCUCAUGAGUUUGCUGGGGUUCUGCAAAGAAGUCCUAGAAAUAGGCUGCUGAGAAGUGCUACUCCCAGUCCUCAGAGAUCAGGCUCUCGGAUUAAUGCUGGCAAUGUUAACAUCUUUAUGACUCCGAGGAAGCUUAUUCACUCUCUUCAAGAUGCUACUGAUGUUGACUCAGACUUCUCAGGCAGAAAACCUAGGAGAUUCAGAAGUCCGUGUUCAAGAAACUUUGAUAUGAAACCAAAACCACACCAGGAUUGUUUUCUGCAUGAUUCAGUCCAUGAGGUAAAAGGGAAUGGAAAUUCUAGUACUGCUGGUGAGAAAUCUCGAUGUGUAUCUGAAUCAGUGUCAUCGACAGAUGAGGCUCCUCUUGAUGCUGAUGCACAAAUCCAUCACAAGAUGCAAGUAGAUUGUCUGCUGAGUUGCAGCGACUUAUUAACACUGUCCAGGAACUCGAUGGGCGAUCCCAGUGUAAGCUGUACUUUAAACAUUGACAUGCAAAUUACUUCUUUA